UACGGGGGGGGCAAGCGUUGUUCGGAAUUACUGGGCGUAAAGGGUUCGUAGGUGGCCUGCUAAGUCACACGUGAAAUCCCUCAGCUUAACUGGGGAACUGCGUGUGAUACUGGCGAGCUUGAGUGCAGGAGAGGAACGCGGAAUUCCAGGUGUAGCGGUGAAAUGCGUAGAUAUCUGGAGGAACACCGGUGGCGAAGGCGGCGUUCUGGACUGCAACUGACACUGAUGAACGAAGCCAGGGAGCAAACGGG
rnacentral:rRNA from 1 species